GUAAUUCCAGCUCCAAUAGCGUAUAUUAAAGUUGUUGCAGUUAAAAAGCUCGUAGUUGGAUUUCGGGGCCCCAGACGUUCGUUGCGUUUCCUGUUGGACUUGUCUGGCGGGUGCGUGGCGGUCGUCGGUCUCUGAGUCGGAUCGGUCCGCCGAGAGGCGUGUACUGACCGACGGCCCCUGUUGUCUCUCGGGUUGCCCGCCUGCACUUAACUGUUGCGGACGGGGAGUUCGGGACGUUUACUUUGAACAAAUUAGAGUGUUCCAAGCAGGCCGGUUGCUUUGAAUACAUUAGCAUGGAAUAAUGGAAUAGGGCUGCGUGACUCGUUGCUCUCGGGUGGCGGGUCCUCGUGUCCUAUUUUGUUGGUUUUCGGGACCGCAGUCAUGGUCAAGAGGGACAGUUGGGGGCAUUCGUAUUCAGUUGUCAGAGGUGAAAUUCUUGGAUUUACGGAAGACGAACAACUGCGAAAGCAUUUGCCAAGGAUGUUUUCAUUAAUCAAGAACGAAAGUUGGGGGUUCGAAGACGAUCAGAUACCGUCGUAGUCCCAACCAUAAACCAUGCCGGCUAGGGAUCGGCGGACGUCGGUAGCGACUCCGUCGGCACCUCUCGAGAAAUCCAAGCCUUUGGGUUCCGGGGGGAGUAUGGUCGCAAGGCUGAAACUUAAAGGAAUUGACGGAAGGGCACCACCAGGAGUGGAGCCUGCGGCUUAAUUUGACUCAACACGGGGAACCUCACCAGGUCCGGACAUGGGAAGGAUUGACAGAUUGAGAGCUCUUUCUUGAUUCUAUGGGUGGUGGUGCAUGGCCGUUCUUAGUUGGUGGAGUGAUUUGUCUGGGUUGAUUCCGUUAACGAACGAGACCUUAACCUGCUAACUAGUCGCGCCGUUUCCGACGGCGGGAGUCCCCUUCUUCGCGG
rnacentral:rRNA from 1 species